rnacentral:sRNA from 1 species
CUGCAGGUGUUGAGAGAAGAUCGCGGGC